rnacentral:sRNA from 1 species
UUUUAGCCCUGAUAGUAAUGGAAAGCCCGUAAAACCAAAACAGUAUAUUUUACAGGUAUUAAACAGCGACCAAAGGAAGCUCGUUUUUACCGUGUAAAAUAGCUGUUUGGGUUGCGGACUUGAAAUGGAUAGCAGGAAAUAGC